UAGUGCCUCCAGAAAGAACACAGCCCUGCUGACACCUUGGUUUUGGCCUGGUGAGACCAACUUUGGACUUUUCACUUCCAAAACUGUUUAAAGAAAAAGUCUACAGUUCCAGUUAGUCUACUUUUGUAACAGGACCUGACAACUCCACUCUACUUACCAUCCUAAAGACUACAGGAAAAACUAGCCCAAGUGACUGAGCCGGGGGGUCCCAGUCAUCAGUAGCAUGGAAAAACAAGAGUGCUCUAGACAGUGGGUGAGAAGAUUCAAGUACCUCUUCAUCCCUGACAAUAUGCUCUUGUGUCUUUUGUAAGAGUACACAGUUUAAAUUUCUAAAAAUUCAUUGCAAUAAAAAGCGAAACAAUCCCUCAUAGAUUUAUAAUCAAAGUAAUGUACCACUUAGAAAAGAUCUGAAAUAAGUGCAAAUACCUAGUACAA